rnacentral:rRNA from 1 species
GACGAACGCUGGCGGCGUGCCUAAUACAUGCAAGUCGAGCGAAGUUUUUCUGGUUCUUGCACUAGAAAAACUUAGCGGCGAACGGGUGAGUAACACGUAAAGAACCUGCCUCAUAGACUGGGACAACUAUUGGAAACGAUAGCUAAUACCGGAUAACAGUAUUUCUCGCAUGAGAGAUAUUUAAAAGUUGGUUAUGCUAACACUAUGAGAUGGCUUUGCGGUGCAUUAGCUAGUUGGUGGGGUAAAGGCCCACCAAGGCGACGAUGCAUAGCCGACCUGAGAGGGUGAUCGGCCACACUGGGACUGAGACACGGCCCAGACUCCUACGGGAGGCAGCAGUAGGGAAUCUUCCGCAAUGGGCGAAAGCCUGACGGAGCAACGCCGCGUGAGUGAAGAAGGAGUUCGGUUCGUAAAGCUCUGUUGUUAGGGAAGAAUGGAUAUGUAGUAACUAUACAUGUAAGAGACGGUACCUAAACAGAAAGCCACGGCUAACUACGUG